CCUAACUACCUAACUAUCUACCUACCUACCUACCUACCUACCUACCUACCUACCUAUCUACCUUCCUACCUACCUACCUACCUACCUACCUACCUAUGUACCUACAUACCUAACUAUCUACCUACGUACCUAACUACUUAACUAUCUACCUACCUACCUAUCUUCCUUCCUACCUACCUACCUACCUACGUACCUACAUACCUACCUAUCUACCUUCCUUCCUACCUACCUACCUACGUACCUACAUACCUAACUAUCUACCUACGUACCUACAUACCUAACUAUGUACCUACGUACCUACGUACGUACCUACCUACCUACCUACCUACCUACCUACCUACCUACCUAACUAUCUACCUACCUACCUAACUAUCUACCUACGUACCUACAUACCUAGCUAUCUACCUACGUACCUACGUACGUACCUACCUACCUACCUACCUACCUACCUAACUAUCUACCUACCUACCUACCUACCUACCUACCUACCUACCUACCUACCUACCUACCUUCCUUCCUUCCUUCCUACCUACCUACGAGGGAAGAAUCCAGAAGUGGAUCCAGAAGUGUUUAGCAGACAGAGCCGAGUGGAGAGCUGCUCUUCCCUGGACCGUUUCUCUCUUUUCCACCUAGAAAAGUGAAGAGGAACUUUAGUUGUCUGCCAGGUGUUCUCUAGUGGACCUGCCAGGUGUCUCUAGUGGACCUGCCAGGUGUUCUCUAGUGGACCUGCCCUGCCAGGUGUUCUCUAGUGGACCUGCCAGGUGUUCUCUAGUGGACCUGCCAGGUGUUCUCUAGUGUACCUGCCAGGUGUUCUCUAGUGGACCUGCCAGGUGUUCUCUAGUGGACCUGCCAGUGGACCUGCCAGGUGAUCUCUAGUGGAGCUGCUAGUGGACCUGCCAGGUGUUCUCUAGUGGACUUGCUAGAGGACCUGCCAGGUGUAACUAGUGGACCUGCCAGGUGUGACUAGUGGACUUGCUAGAGGACCUGCCAGGUGUUCUCUAGUGGGCCUGCUAGUGGACCUGCCAGGCGAGACUAGUGGACCUGCCAGGUGUGACUAGUGGACCUGCCAGGUGUGACUAGUGGACCUGCCAGGUGUAACUAGUGGACCUGCCAGGUAUAACUAGUGGACCUGCCAGGUGUUCUCUAGUGGACCUGCUAGUGGACCUGCCAGGUGUUCUCUAGUGGACCUGCUAGUGGACCUGCCAGGUGUUCUCUAGUGGACCUGCUAGUGGACCUGCCAGGUGUCUCUAGUGGACCUGCUAGUGGACCUGCCAGGUGUUCUCUAGUGGACUUGCUAGUGGACCUGCCAGGUGUUCUCUAGUGGACCUACUACUGGACCUGCCAGGUGUGACUAGUGGACCUGCCAGGUGUGACUAGUGGACCUGCCAGGCUUAACUAGUGAACCUUCCAGGUGUGACUAGUGAACCUGCCAGGUGUAACUAGUGGACCUGCCAGGUGUCACUAGUGGACCUGCUAGUGGACCUGCCAGGUGUACUAGUGGACCUGCCAGGUGUUCUCUAGUGGACCUGCCAGGUGUUACUAGUGGACCUGCCAGGUGUAACUAAUGGACCUGCCAGGUGUAACUAGUGGACCUGCCAGGUGUGACUAGUGAACCUGCCAGGUGUAACUAGUGGACCUGCUAGUGGACCUGCCAGGUGUGACUAGUGGACCUGCCAGGUGUAACUAGUGGACCUGCUAGUGGACCUGCCAGGUGUUCUCUAGUGGACCUGCCAGGUGUUACUAGUGGACCUGCCAGGUGUUACUAGUGGACCUGCCAGGUGUAACUAAUGGACCUGCCAGGUGUUCUCUAGUGGACCUGCCAGGUGAAACUAGUGGACCUGCCAGAUGUAACUAUGACAGUCUCCAUCUAAAAGCCUCCAAGGUGCACGGACAGGAUUCUGCAUCGCUGCACAAGCCUGUAUGUCAUUGGUGUUGUGUUUUAAUUUAAUGUAUUUAUAUUCUUAUUAAAUUGUGAACAUAUAUCAUUGUGUGAUGUGUUUUGUGUGAAGAGUUGUGUUGUUUGGCCUUUAAGAAAGUCUGUCUGUCUGUCUCUCCACCCCUGCUGGUC
ensembl:lncRNA